rnacentral:sRNA from 1 species
GCCAGGUGCAGAGGCACAUGCCUGUAAUCCCAGUGACUUGGGAGGCUGAGGCAGGAGGAUUGCAAAUUUGAGGCCAUCCAUAGCAAUUAUCAAGGCCCUAAACAACUUAGCGAGACCCUGUCUCAA